rnacentral:rRNA from 1 species
AUUGAACGCUGGCGGCAUGCCUUACACAUGCAAGUCGAACGGUAACGCGGGGCAACCUGGCGACGAGUGGCGAACGGGUGAGUAAUAUAUCGGAACGUGCCCAAUAGUGGGGGAUAGCCCGGCGAAAGCCGGAUUAAUACCGCAUGAGACCUGAGGGUGAAAGCGGGGGAUCGCAAGACCUCGCGCUAUUGGAGCGGCCGAUAUCAGAUUAGGUAGUUGGUGGGGUAAAGGCCUACCAAGCCUGCGAUCUGUAGCUGGUCUGAGAGGAUGACCAGCCACACUGGGACUGAGACACGGCCCAGACUCCUACGGGAGGCAGCAGUGGGGAAUUUUGGACAAUGGGCGCAAGCCUGAUUCAGCCAUGCCGCGUGCGGGAAGAAGGCCUUCGGGUUGUAAACCGCUUUUGUCAGGGAAGAAAUCUUCUGGGUUAAUACCUCGGGAGGAUGACGGUACCAGCAGAAGAAGCACCGGCUAACUACGUGCCAGCCGCCGCAGUAAUAC